rnacentral:rRNA from 1 species
CUGGCUCAGAACGAACGCUGGCGGCGCGUCUUAAGCAUGCAAGUCGAACGGCAAGAGGUAGCAAUACCUCCUAGAGUGGCGGACUGGUGAGUAACACGUGGGUGACAUACCCUUCAGAUGGGGAUAGCUAUUAGAAAUAGUAGAUAAUACCGAAUACGAGCACAGGGGUUAGAGAUCUGUGAGGAAAGGAGCUAAGGCUCCGCUGAAGGAAUGGCCUGCGGCCCAUUAGCUAGUUGGUGAGGUAAGAGCCCACCAAGGCGAUGAUGGGUAUCCGGCCUUAGAGGGUGAACGGACACAUUGGGACUGAGAUACGGCCCAGACUCCUACGGGAGGCAGCAGCUAAGAAUAUUCCGCAAUGGACGAAAGUCUGACGGAGCGACGCCGCGUGGAUGAAGAAGGCCGGAAGGUUGUAAAAUCCUUUUGAAACUGAAGAAUAAGCGUUGUAGGGAAUGACAGCGUGGUGACAGUAGGUUUUGAAUAAGCAACGGCUAAUUACGUGCCAGCAGCGGC